CUUUAAGGAGGAUAUUGAAAGACCCCCGAAGGGAGACCCUCACUCAAGCCUCGGGACAGCCGCGGACCCAAGAAGACACUGAGACCG
rnacentral:pre_miRNA from 7 species